AGUGAACGCUGGCGGUAGGCCUAACACAUGCAAGUCGAACGGCAGCACAGUAAGAGCUUGCUCUUACGGGUGGCGAGUGGCGGACGGGUGAGGAAUACAUCGGAAUCUACUUUUUCGUGGGGGAUAACGUAGGGAAACUUACGCUAAUACCGCAUACGACCUACGGGUGAAAGCAGGGGAUCCUCGGACCUUGCGCGAUUGAAUGAGCCGAUGUCGGAUUAGCUAGUUGGCGGGGUAAAGGCCCACCAAGGCGACGAUCCGUAGCUGGUCUGAGAGGAUGAUCAGCCACACUGGAACUGAGACACGGUCCAGACUCCUACGGGAGGCAGCAGUGGGGAAUAUUGGACAAUGGGCGCAAGCCUGAUCCAGCCAUACCGCGUGGGUGAAGAAGGCCUUCGGGUUGUAAAGCCCUUUUGUUGGGAAAGAAAAGCAGCAGGUUAAUACCCCGCUGUUCUGACGGUACCUAAAGAAUAAGCACCGGCUAACUUCGUG
rnacentral:rRNA from 1 species